GAAUUUACUGUAAUAGAGAUAGAAAAACACAGAUAUGGUGGUUGACACAGUCCUAAAAAAUGGAGUCAUGGAGGUAAGUACAUACUGCUCUUUGGAGAAACAUGGUUGUAAGGUGAACGAAAAACUAAGGUGUACACUAGAAGGAAACAGAGCGACAAAAUAGGAGAUGCUGAAAGAAAAAGAGAAGUUGAAAUACAGAAGAGAAGAGACGCAAUGUAAGCUUCCCAAAGAAAUGAGAAGAUGUGAUUCAAAGAACAGAUGGUAGGUUUAACAUUUGAAAUGUAGGACAACAAUUUAGCUAAAAUAGAAAGGGAAGAGGUAAGGCUGGCUCUGACUAUAUUUACACUUGUUUGUGUUUUGGGGAGAGAAAGGAAGUGGAGAACGUUCUUGCAAGAUGAUCUGUAUUUUCUCUCUAAAGCAGAGUUCAUUUGCUGAGAAUGAUGGAGAAAAUCAGCAUCUAGCUAAUCAGCUGACCAUGAGAUGCAGAGAUUAUCUGGAAUUAUCCAGAUUGGUCCAUUUAAUUACAUGAGUCCUUAAAAGUGGAAAGUGGAAGAAGAGGCAGAAGAGUGUGUCAGAGAGAUGCUGUGUGAAAAGGACUCAACCUGCCACUUGAGGCUUUGAGGCUGGAGAAAGGGGCCAUGAACCAAGGAUUGUGAGCAGCCUGUAAAAUCUGGAAAAGACAAGGCAAUACCCUUUGCUGUCUCAGGGUCAAACAUGCAACUCCUGCCUGCUUGUAUGGCCAGCUGGGUUCAAGAAGGAAGGAACCUCAUUGUUGACAGUUACCAGAUGAAUGUGCCCCUUCUGUACAGCUAAGAAAUGGAAUAGACAUUGGUAACCUUCCACAGGCCCACACAUGUGUUAUCAGCCAUACCUUAGGACAGAAGGAAUGAGUUUGCAGAAAGGAUGCUCUUCAGAACUCAUGAAGACAUAAGGUGCUUCAAAAGAGGAGACUUUCGGAACAUGAGCAGGGAAAUUGUCACUUGAUAGAUGACAAGCAUUGUGAGAAACAACAGUUUGCCUUUCUUCAUUCCCUUCCUGGUUAUCUUUCCUGUCACAUGAAGAAGAAAUGAAACACCAGAGAGAAUCAGGUUAUCAUCAUCUACACCAGCCACUGUCACUGACAACUCCAGGAAGGAAAUUGGUAGACUCAACGUCCAGGGAACCUACGAAUCUGCUAUCCCAAGCCUUCUGCCCCCAAACACUUCACCCUGAAAUACAGCCCAGAGCAUGCACUCAGUGAGUCCCACUGAAGAAGAGACGGAAGGCAGAACUGAACAAGAUGUGUCCAGAAGAGGUAGCCAUAGAUCAUGGACAUGACCAAAAGAAGCUUACUUUAUUUUCAACCCUACAACCAUACUGAGAAUUUAGCCCUGGGGACAUCUUCCGAUAUAAUCUGGCAUAGAAGAGUGGUUAUCACACCUUUAGCAUGGAUAGAAAUGCAAAACAAUAUUUGUAAUAGUCUGUGCUCACGCUGCUAUAAGGACAUACCCAAGACUAGGAAAGAGCCACAGAUUUGCUUCUUCCUAGCAAGGGCGUGAUACUAAUUCCAGAUCCAUCCAAAUAUUGUUCACUGCUUCUUAGACAGAGACCCCUUUCUCCCAGGACCCUUGAGACACCUUUGCUGUGAAUAAUGGAGAAGCAAAAGGAGUUACUAAUGAAGACAAACUAAACCUGAGAACAGAGAGAGCCUAACUAUGUGCUCCAGAAGUGCCAUGUGUGUCUAAGGUAGGUCCAAAGGUAUGAGUCUAGAGAUAUUAUGUAUAAAACACCUAAUUGAAUGUCAAAAAAUCCAUAGAAGCUUAAUAAUUGGUAGCAAUUAUUAUUACUCAUUAGUGUGGGGGCUGGGAAGAUGACAACAGAGUAUAACUUGGAGGGUUGGUGUAGAGCAAUUAGCUAGCAACUGUAGUUUGAAUUUCCAUGAAGUAGUUCCCUUAAUUGUGUACACACAAACACAUCAAAACUGAAACCACAGCUAUGUGAUUUAAUAAUGUUGCACGUUUAGACAUGAUACAAGGCACUUUUGCCUACAUUAUCUUUCUGUGAGUUUAACAUUAGACCUGGUAUAAUUAUCCUAAAUUUACUACUAGAGAAUUUAGUUUGAAAAGUCAUGCAACUUUUCUAAAGAAUUUUUUCUGAUUUAAUAACACCAAUCAAUGAAUUAAUCAAUCAACUGUUCUGGCCAUUAAAUGUGUGAGAAAAAAAAGUCAGUGUAUUAAUUAUAAUUAUAUACCGAGACUUGGCUCUGUGUGUUUCACAAAAUAAGUAUAAAGUAUCAAAUUUGUUAUAAAUGUGUGACCCAUUAAAAGAAAAAAAAACUUGAUAGAUGUGUAUUUGGUAACAGCUUUUUAGAAAAUUUUUUGAACAUUUAUGAUGUUCAGAAAAGAACAGUGAUCAGUGUGCUAAAUUAAAUUACUUGAAUAAAUUAUGGAGAAAAAGUUCUGAUUUUUGUGCAAGGUUUGCAUUCUGGAUUGAGGUCCAGUUCUUUUUGAAGUAUCUGAAAUCAAACAUAUAUUUCCAAACCCUGAGGACUGAUUUCCUUCUGAAGACCACCCUCUCUUCUAUUUGAGGAACUCCAUAUUCCUUCUUGUAACACUACUCUGAUUCUAUAUCAAGCAAUCUUGGCCUUGUUAAGAUAAGAAAGUUGCCUUAAGCACUUUCCAAAGCUUUCCUACAUUCACUGUUGGUGGAUGGUGUCCCUACCCUACUUGUUCCCCUGCAGAACCUCAGAUUGGAGAUAUAAGGGGUGAAAUAACAGCCAAGUACCUCAGAGCUAAGUACUUUACAUAUAACUCAUUUAAUCCUCACAGCAUUGCUAUGGAACAAGUACUAUUAUUCAUCCCAGUUUACAGAUAGAAACUAAGGCAGAGAAAGGUUAAAUAAUCAAAGUUUACCUACUAGAUAACAGAGUGGGGGUAGAAACCAAGCCAUUCUGGCUUUUCCUGCUUGUAACACCAGGGUGGUAAAGGUGAAAAUUUGGGUUCAUUCUCACAGAGAAGAGGUUAUUAAGGCUCAGACUGGACAGAUAGCAUGGGAAUGAUGAGCAAGCAGGAAAUUUAAGAGUCAGAUCUUAGAAAAAUAUGACAAAGCCUAGAGACUGGCAACUGACAUGAUCUGAGAAAAGUGAGGAGGCCAGUGUUCCUUGUUUGGAAACAGGAGGAAUAAUGGGACCACUGGUUGAAAUGGAGUGCAAAUGUCUUAUAAGAAAAGGAAAAAAAUGACACCAACUUGACCCUCAAGUAUAUUUUGAGUAUAUUCUAUUUCUCUUUUCAUUAGAAGAAAUUUAAUUUGAGAAAUGAAUAGAGAAAGAAAGGGGAAAGGAGAAUGUUUCAAAGAAUAAGGUUAAAGUCAUCACAGCUUGACAGCAAUCUAAAAGUCAAAAAGUAUGCCAGAAUAGCAGGUAUUUGAGACCCACUGUUCGAAACAAUUUUAUUUUAAACACAUGUGGUUCCUUAAUGAUACUGGUAGCAUGGUGGUUGUGCAGCCCGCCUUUAGCAGGAAGUGCUGAUUUGCUUAAUUCUAUUAAGCCUAUAAGAAAGGUAAAUCUGUCUCCUGAACUUAAGGGGCCUCUGCUCUAAAGUAAGUUUGACAUUGGCCAAUAAUCACCCUGACAUUCUUGUGGCUUUGGCUGCUCUUGAAGCUGCUGAAUUGCACCAAGAGAAGAGGCUGAGUGAGAAAGCCUGGUUAUAGCAAUGGCCCAUCCUGUCAGUGCUGGGAGUGGGUACUAUACUCAAAGCAGUAUAAAUACAGAUGCUGCACAUUAUGCUCUGCUAUGCUGGCUGCCUUUGGGAUGAUUGUUGGGAAAGUUCUUGAAGCCAGUGGUGUUAGAGGGGACAGUGUGCUUCUUGAAACAAAAGAGUUGAUGGUGAGAAUGGUCUUUGAAAACUGUACUCUUUACAAAGGUGAACUCUGCAAACUGGGCCUACUGAAAGAAAUAGGGAUUCUAUUUUCAUUACUGUUUUAUCAUCAAAAUACCAUAAGGCCUGGCCCUUAGCAAAUAGUCCUUAAAUAUCUGAUACCAUUAGAAGCUUGCUUCUAUGAAGGGUGAUCACCCAUCCCAGUUUGCGUGGGACAGUCUUAGUUUACAUUAUUGUCCUUGCAUCCUGUUCAGCUGGUAUAUAUCCAAGUCUCUUAAUUUUUAUUCAAGUAUUAUUAUUAAUAGUUGUACAAAAAUAAGUCAGAAUAAGUUUGGUAGACCUCUACUUUAUUUCCAGCUUCUGUCAUUUUCUUCCUGGUAGUAGGUAUGAGACAUAUAUACAUGGAAAGAUAAUCAGCAGUAGCCUAUCUCUCUCCCUUUAAUUUUUUAAAGAACUUUCCAGAUUCAAGAAUGGACAAGGCACUCAGUUAUGAGCAACAAAUUCCUUUUGUCUUGGAGAUCAUGGAAGAAGUAUUAGAUGCUGCUCCCCUUAGUGUAACAGCCAGUUUUGUUGCAGCCUGUGGGGCCUGCAAGCUACACAAAACCACCAGGAUCCUAGAAGAGUCACUAGGAAACGUAGAGUAUUAUAGCUAGAUAAACAUCAUCACAUAUGUGUAAAAGAUAGAGACUGAACAGUCCAGUCUUAAAAUGUAUAGCAAAGUAGUUUGAAUGCUCUUGUUACAGUGAUUUUGUCAUCUACCAAUUUUAAGUGUGUAGUGAUUUAUCUAUCACAUUAUUUGGCAAUACUUUCUGAAUUUUGCAAUACAUGCAACAAUGACCUAAAAAAUGAAAGUGCAUGUUUAAUUUAAAAAUUAAAAGUAAAGCCAGGCGCAGUGGCUCACACCUGUAAUCCCAGCACUUUGGGAGGCUGAGGCGGGCGGAUUACCUGAGGUCGGGAGUUCAAGACCAGCCUGACCAACAUGGAGAAACCCUGUCUCUACUAAAAAUACAAAAUUGACUGGGCGUGGUGGUGCAUGCCUGUGGUCCCAGCUACUUGGGAGGCCGAAGCAGGAGAAUUGCUUGAACCUGGGAGGCGGAUGUUGCGGUGAGUGGAGAUCGCGCCAUUGCACUCCAGCCUGGGCAACAAGAGCAAAACUCUGUCUCAAAAAAAAAAAAAAAAA
rnacentral:lncRNA from 1 species